rnacentral:rRNA from 1 species
UUGGAGGGCAAGUCUGGUGCCAGCAGCCGCGGUAAUUCCAGCUCCAAUAGCGUAUAUUAAAGUUGUUGCAGUUAAAAAGCUCGUAGUUGAAUUUCGGGAUCAAUAUUUCGGACAUGCCGUUGGUAUGCACUGUUAUCAUUGAUUUCUCACCUUCUAAGGAACCGUAAUGCCAUUAAUUUGGUGUUACGGGGAAUUAGGACUGUUACCUUGAAAAAAUUAGAGUGUUUAAAGCAGGCUCACGCUUGAAUACAUUAGCAUGGAAUAAUGAAAUAGGACAUCCGAUUCUAUUUUGUUGGUUUCUAGGAUCGAUGUAAUGAUUAAUAGGGAUAGUUGGGGGCAUUAGUAUUCAAUUGUCAGAGGUGAAAUUCUUGGAUUUAUUGAAGACUAACUACUGCGAAAGCAUUUGCCAAGGAUGUUUUCAUUAAUCAAGAACGAAAGUUAGGGGAUCGAAGACGAUCAGAUACCGUCGUAGUCUUAACCAUAAACUAUGCCGACUAGGGAUCGGAUGAUGUUAAUUUUUUAAUGACUCAUUCGGCGCCUUACGGGAAAC